rnacentral:rRNA from 1 species
UACGGAGGGGGCAAGCGUUGUUCGGAAUUACUGGGCGUAAAGGGCGCGUAGGCGGCCAGUUGCGUCGGGUGUGAAAGCCCCGGGCUCAACCUGGGAGUUGCACUUGAAACGGGCUGGCUGGAAUCCGGGAGAGGAUGGUGGAAUUCCCAGUGUAGAGGUGAAAUUCGUAGAUAUUGGGAAGAACACCGAUGGCGAAGGCAGCCAUCUGGACCAGGAUUGACGCUGAGUCUCGAAAGCGUGGGGAGCAUACAGG